UACGUAGGGUGCGAGCGUUGUCCGGAAUUAUUGGGCGUAAAGAGCUCGUAGGCGGUGUGUCGCGUCGGCCGUGAAAACCUGCAGCUUAACUGUGGGCGUGCGGUCGAUACGGGCAUCACUGGAGUUCGGCAGGGGAGACUGGAAUUCCUGGUGUAGCGGUGAAAUGCGCAGAUAUCAGGAGGAACACCGGUGGCGAAGGCGGGUCUCUGGGCCGAUACUGACGCUGAGGUGCGAAAGCGUGGGGAGCAAACAGG
rnacentral:rRNA from 1 species